rnacentral:tRNA from 1 species
GCGGAUGUGGCGGAAUUUGGUAGACGCGCACGGUUCAGGUCCGUGUGGGGGUGACCCCGUGGAGGUUCGAGUCCUCUCAUCCGCA